UGUUCAGAUGUGCAGGAAUUCUUACUUCGUACUAAGUGGGUUUGCAGCUUAUGCGGCGUUACUUUCGGCCCGAAGCCGUUGUUGGUGCAUGCCGCGAGUCCCGCAGACUUAUAUGGAGCUCCACAGUUGAGCUCCAUGGCAGUUUGUCCCUCAAGUCCACGCUUUAGUCUUCCUUAGCUGAGUUUAGUCAAUCCAAAACACAGCUCUUUUGCUACAAAAGCCCCUUGUGAAAGUGACGUGGCUCCAACAUUGCAACCUUGACGAAGCAUUCCCCGAUACAACUGCAAGUUCGCGGGUUUUACACUGUCAUCCGCUGGGGAGAUUUCCCUUUAGAGCGCUUUGCGCUCAUAGAACUCUUGGUCUCCAUC
rnacentral:sRNA from 2 species